CAUCAAAUGCGUCUAGUAUCAAAAUCAUGUAAAAACUGUAAAACAGAUUUUGUAUGAGACGCAUUUCGAUGA
rnacentral:pre_miRNA from 15 species